GCGUCCGUAGCUCACCUGGAUAGAGCAACAGACUUCGAAUCUGUAGGUAGCACGUUCGAGUCGUGUCGGACGCA
rnacentral:tRNA from 1 species